AAGUCGUAACAAGGUAACCGUAGGUGAACCUGCGGUUGGAUCAUUACAAAUUCAACAGGAUAAAGUUCGCCAUGGAACCGUUCGCGCGGUUCCGUGGUGUUCCUAAUCUGACCACACCUUUGUGAACCACUGACCGUAUCUUAUGGCCACAUUUGCGUUUUCCUACGGGGGUAGUUGACUUCAACAGUGCAUGUUUGACGCGCUGCAUGAAACUCGGACUAUUGGCCUCGCUCUUAAACGGGCGAGGGCAGAACCUGGUGGCUACUCAAACAAUGAAAACACCCGUUUUUUGACAUUUUGCCUUAAAAAUCAAUCUGAAGCUCGAAAGAGCGCUAGGAUUUAAAAAUGAGAAACAACUUUAGACAACGGAUCUCUUGGCUCUC
rnacentral:misc_RNA from 1 species